AUACGGAGGAUACGAGCGUUAUCCGGAUUUAUUGGGUUUAAAGGGUGCGCAGGCGGAUCGGUAAGUCAGGGGUGAAAAGUUGGGGCUCAACUCCAAUCGUGCCUUUGAUACUGGCGUGCUGGAGUACGGAUGCCGUUGGAGGAAUGAGUGGUGUAGCGGUGAAAUGCUUAGAUAUCACUCAGAACACCGAUUGCGAAGGCAGCUGACGAAUCAGUCACUGACGCUGAGGCACGAAAGCGUGGGGAUAGAACAGGAUUAGAUACCCUGGUAUUCCACGCCGUAAACGAUGAUGACUAACCGUCGGCGAUAGACAGCCGGUGGCCAAGCGAAAGCGAUAAGUCAUCCACCUGGGGAGUACGUCGGCAACGAUGAAACUCAAAUGAAUUGACGGGG
rnacentral:rRNA from 1 species